GACGAACGCUGGCGGCGUGCUUAACACAUGCAAGUCGAGCGGUAAGGCCCUUUCGGGGUACGACGAGCGGCGAACGGGUGAGUAACACGUGGGUGACCUGCCCUCAGCUCUGGGAUAAGCCUGGGAAACCGGGUCUAAUACCGGAUAUGACUCCAUGACGCAUGUUGUGGGGUGGAAAGCCUUGUGCGGCUGAGGAUGGGCCCGCGGCCUAUCAGCUUGUUGGUGGGGUGANGGCCUACCAAGGCGACGACGGGUAGCCGGCCUGAGAGGGCGACCGGCCACACUGGGACUGAGACACGGCCCAGACUCCUACGGGAGGCAGCAGUGGGGAAUCUUGCGCAAUGGGCGAAAGCCUGACGCAGCGACGCCGCGUGAGGGAUGACGGCCUGGUUGUAACU
rnacentral:rRNA from 1 species